GACGAACGCUGGCGGCGUGCUUAACACAUGCAAGUCGAACGGAAAGGCCCUGCUUUCGUGGGGUGACCGAGUGGCGAACGGGUGCGUAACACGUGAGUAACCUGCUCUUGAUUUUGGGAUAACUUAAGGAAACUGGGGCUACUACCAGAUAGGAGCUCCUGUUGCAUGGUGGGGGUUGGAACGUUUCGGCGGUUGGGGAUGGACGCGCGGCUUAUGAGCUUGUUGGUGGGGUAGUGGAUUACCCAGGCUUUGACGGGUAGCCGGCCUGGGAGGGUGACCGGCCACAUUGGGACUGAGAGACGGCCCAGAGUCCAACGGGGGGCAGCGGGGGGGAGUAUUGCACAAUGGGCGGGAGCCUGAUGCAGCGACGCCGCGUGCGGAAUGACGGCCUGCGGGUUGUAAACCGCUUUCGCCUAAGACGAAGCGUUAGUGACGGUAAUGGGUAAAGAAGCACCGGCUAACUACGUG
rnacentral:rRNA from 1 species